GAUUCGUUUGAAUAAGCCCGUUUUAUACAUAAGUCAUCGAGGAUCCGGAAAACCAUUUCUUUUCCCUCCCCAGGGCGGUCUAACGGUGUGCGGUUUCUAACUUCUGAGAAACUCGAAGGAACUGCAAUGGCGGGAGGUCAGCCGGAGAGAGAAGACAAAGUAUCCUUGGAACUCACCGAAGAAAUUCUUCAGAGCAUGGAAGUUGGAAUGGCUUUCCGCGAUUACAAUGGAAGAAUUAGUUCGAUGGAUUUCCAUAAGACCUCAAGUUAUUUGGUUACUGCUAGCGAUGAUGAAUCCAUUCGCCUGUACGAUGUUGCUAGUGCAACAUGUCUGAAGACAAUCAACAGUAAAAAAUAUGGGGUGGAUCUAGUUAGCUUUACCUCUCAUCCUACAACUGUUAUUUACUCGUCAAAGAAUGGCUGGGAUGAAUCACUACGGCUUCUCUCAUUGCAUGACAACAAAUACUUGAGGUACUUCAAAGGUCAUCAUGACAGGGUUGUUUCCCUUAGUCUCUGCUCUAGAAAAGAUUGUUUCAUUUCUGGUUCUCUUGAUCGAACUGUUUUGCUUUGGGACCAAAGAGCAGAGAAAUGUCAGGGUCUUCUACGUGUUCAAGGGAGACCGGCUGCAGCUUAUGAUGACCAGGGACUUGUCUUUGCCAUUGCGUUUGGAGGAUACAUAAGAAUGUUUGAUGCUCGCAAAUAUGAAAAGGGCCCUUUCGACAUAUUUUCUCUUGGUGGAGAUAUGUCGGAAGCUAAUGUUGUGAAAUUCAGUAAUGAUGGGAGACUUAUGCUCUUGACGACGUCAAAUGGGCAUAUUCACGUGCUUGAUUCCUUCCGUGGCACCCUUUUAUCAACAUAUAAUGUCAAGCCCAUUUCAAGCAAUUCUACUUUGGAGGCGUCUUUCAGCCCCGAGGGAAUGUUUGUCAUAUCAGGUUCUGGGGAUGGUAGUGUUUAUGCUUGGAGUGUUCGGAGCGGCAAAGAAGUUGCCAGUUGGAUGAGCACUGAAGCUGAACCACCUGUAAUCAAAUGGGCUCCUGGAAGCUUAAUGUUUGUGACUGGUUCUUCUGAGUUAUCCUUUUGGAUUCCAGACUUAUCUAAAUUAGCAGCUUAUGUUGGAAGGAAGUAGUAAUUUUAACUGGUACCUCUUCUAGUGGUCUUGUGCACAGAUGCAUGAAGAGAUGGGAACUUGGAAUGCUUGCUGCAUAUUCGCAUGUAGCAAAAUGAUGGCAGCUUGACAUGCCCCAGAUGUAAAUCUCUCUUGUAUGCUGCUACUUGAAACGUGACAUACAAGGCAAAUGGAUGUCGAUGAAAAUUGUCAUAUCAGGAGCUUCUCUUUGCUCCCCUGUAGAUCAGCCGAUCAGAUACUGCUCUGAUUCUAACUUGUUCUGGACUUGGGUUUUUGGAACUCAACUCUCUGUGUGUUGUACUUGGCUUGGGUUAUUAUUAGAGAUAACUUCAUUUAUACUUUUGAUUUAUGGUUUAUUUAUACAAAUUACUCAUAUUUUGCGAAAUUACAAAAAUGACUCCCGGCAGCCAAAAAGCAUGGAUAGUAUGUGUAAUGAUGAUUUUUGAGGAUGUAUGUGUAAUUUUUUAAAAAGAUUCUGAGUGUUUUGUGUAAAUGAUGUAGAUGUUUCUGAUGAGUGUAUGCAUAAUUUUUUAAGAAGUAGGAGUGAUUUGUGUAAAUAAACUA